AUUGAACGCUGGCGGCAUGCUUUACACAUGCAAGUCGAACGGUAACAGGGAGCUUGCUCCGCUGACGAGUGGCGAACGGGUGAGUAAUAUAUCGGAACGUACCCAGAAGUGGGGGAUAACGUAGCGAAAGUUACGCUAAUACCGCAUACGAUCCAAGGAUGAAAGUAGGGGACCUUCGGGCCUUAUGCUUUUGGAGCGGCCGAUAACGGGUUAGCUAGUUGGUGAGGUAAAGGCUCACCAAGGCGACGAUCCGUAGCUGGUCUGAGAGGACGACCAGCCACACUGGAACUGAGACACGGUCCAGACUCCUACGGGAGGCAGCAGUGGGGAAUUUUGGACAAUGGGCGCAAGCCUGAUCCAGCAAUGCCGCGUGAGUGAAGAAGGCCUUCGGGUUGUAAAGCUCUUUUGUCAGGGAAGAAACGGGAGUGGCUAAUAUCCAUUCCUAAUGACGAUACCUGAAGAAUAAGCACCGGCUAACUACGUGCCAGCCGCCGCAGUAAUAC
rnacentral:rRNA from 1 species